AUUCCUCUUAGGCAGGAGAAAGCAAUUUUGCAGUAAAGAGUAGCUGACAGGGCAGCAGUGUUACUGAAAAAAAUCAGAAAUAGAAAGCCACAAACCGAGGAGCAGCUAUACAACGAGCUGUUGCCAAGAAAGUAGCAGCUACUAGUUCUGCAGGAAGUUGGGGAAAGAGGACCAAGAGACAAACAAGGUAAUUGUUCUGCUGGCUUGGGGAUGAUGCAGCCUGGCUUAAAGAGCAACACUCUCAGCUCUACAGAAGACCAAUGGCAAUGAUUAAUGAUUUAGAAAACAUAACUUAGGAGAUAAGACUGAAAGGUUCAGUUUUGAUUUUUUUUCUCCAAAGCAGAAGAGAGCAGGAACAGAACUCAGGACAGCGUGAGCAGAGUGCAAACCAGAUGCUGAACCACUGUGGUCCCUGAUUAGGGGGGGACAGAGGGGAAGGCAACUCAAUUUGCAGCAAAAUCAAUUCAGGGGAAAUUUUGAGUAUUUGAAGUUCCAACUCAGAACUAAGCUUAUUGAAUAAUUUCCAGUGAAUGGAAAUGCCCAACUUGUGAAUAGUUCUACCCAGUAAGUGCUGAAACACCAUGGCUUACAAUUUGACUUGUUCCUUUAUGACCCCUUUAAAGCUGUUCAACUGUGUCAUGGCAUUCCUUAAUUGAAAUAAAUUAAAACUAACAAAAAAA